CCUACGGGAGGCAGCAGUAGGGAAUCUUCCACAAUGGGCGAAAGCCUGAUGGAGCAACGCCGCGUGGGUGAAGAAGGUCUUCGGAUCGUCAAACCCUGUUGUUAGAGAAGAAAGUGCGUGAGAGUAACUGUUCACGUUUCGACGGUAUCUAACCAGAAAGCCACGGCUAACUACGUGCCAGCAGCCGCGGUAAUACGUAGGUGGCAAGCGUUAUCCGGAUUUAUUUGGCGUAAAGGGAACGCAGGCGGCAGCGCAAGUCUGAUGUGAAAGCCCGGGGCCCAACCGCGGGACUGCAUUGGAAACUG
rnacentral:rRNA from 1 species